CUCUCCCUACGGGGGGCAGCAGUGGGGAAUAUUGCACAAUGGGGGAAACCCUGAUGCAGCAACGCCGCGUGAGUGAAGAAGGUUUUCGUAUUGUAAAGCUCUGUUAGCAGGGAAGAGUAAGGACGGUACCUGCAGAGGAAGCCACGGCUAACUACGUGCCAGCAGCCGCGGUAAUACGUAGGUGGCAAGCGUUUUUCGGAAUAACUUGGCUUAAAGGAUGCGUAGGCGGUUAAACAAGUUAUAUGUUAAAUAUAUAGGCUUAA
rnacentral:rRNA from 1 species